UACGUGGGGUGCGAGCGUUGUCCGGAAUCACUGGGCGUAAAGGGCGCGUAGGUGGUUUGCUAAGGGUGUGGUGAAAGUCCGGGGCUCAACCCCGGAUCUGCCGUGCCGACUGUCAAACUCGAGGACUGUAGAGGCAGACGGAAUUCCGGGUGUAGUGGUGAAAUGCGUAGAUAUCCGGAGGAACACCAGUGGCGAAGGCAAUCCCCUGGACCUGUACUGACGCUCAUGCACGAAAGCGUGGGGAGCAAACAGG
rnacentral:rRNA from 1 species